UCAAGUUUACAUUUCUGGCUAUUUUUCAUAAAAACCCUUUCGUUGGUUCUGCAGAAAAUUUCCUUUUAGUUUAAACCCUAAAACGGAACUGCCUCGUAAAACCCUUGUUCAGAAGAAGGUGAAGAAUGAAAGGAGGGUCUGUGUUGAGAACUGUUUCUUUCUACGCGCGCAAUUGCCUUCUCCGUCUUCCCACCACCAUUACGAAAACUCCUCCUCCUUCCUCACUCAUCCCACUCGCCUCCUCGAGUCGGACCGGACUCAGCUUCUACUCGUCCGGAAGAUCGGUUCCAUCUGAAAUCCAUGAGAAGAACGAUCCCGCAGAUUCUGCCGAUGACGUCACCGGAAAAGAGCUGAAAAAGCGAGUAGAAAAGUACUUUGAUGGGGAUGAGGAGGCAAUACCAUCGAUUUUUGAAGCAAUUUUGGAGAGGAAGUUGGCAAAGCUGGAAGGGAAGCUUGAUGAGAAAGAUGAAGAAUUGGUGGAAAAAAUCUUUGGGAAGAGGGAAGAGCUGCAUGGCGAUUCCGAAGACCAUGAAGAUUUCGAAUCCGAAUCCGAUUCCGAUUCAGAUUAACUUUUCAGAGACUGACGAGGAAAUUUGAUGUUCUGGGUGUUGCAAGGCAUAUUUCUGACAAGUAAAUGAGCUGAAAAAGCAUGAGGGGGAUGAGGAGGCAAUAACAUCAAAUUUUUCCCGAGAAAAUUAGCAAAAUUGCUACAGAACGAGAGCCUCUCUGAUCGACUCCCCUGAGAGGACUAUUGACUGAACUGGUGAAGCAAGUUGCUCAAAUUGCUCCUUCCUGUCCAAACGCAUAGACUCUCCCCAAGGGCCCAUAACAUAAAACCAUUUUCUUCUCGCCAAUUCUAGCUAACGACUUUUCUGGCAGUAAUCAGCAAGCUGAAUCAAAGCUAUGCUAGGAUGAGAAGCAAGGUAAAAAAAUUUGGGAGUUUGAGAACAAGGUUUGACAAGGUACAUGUAAUUAAGCUCUUCCAAACGAGGCGGGGGUGACCACUAUUAACCCAAAAGAGCAUAAAAAUCCAACUCAAGUUUAUUUUAUAUACACUAAGUCAAGUCUUGUUUGCAGACUUCCAAGUCUUUUUUACCUUGUUCCUUGUCCUAGCUUUGAGCCCAGUUUGCUGACUGCUACAAGAAAACUGCUAGCCUGAAUUGGGGGAGAGAAAUGGUUCUAUGUAACUAGUCGUUGGGGAGAGUCUUAUCUCUUUGGAGGAAAGGGCAAUGUGUGCACCCUUGGGGGAAAACUCAACCAAAGGGGCUUCUGGUGGUUUGUGAUACUCCUAGAAGCGUGAUGAGACAGAUGAAGAGUUAAUUGAAAACAUCUGAUGGAAGAGGGAAUACUGCAUAGCGAUUCUGUAAGUCCUGGACAGUGAAGCAUACCCAGGGAAUGGACGACAAAAAGCGUAGGGCAAAUAAUUUGAUCUGAGUAACAGAAAGAUUGGCAAAGGUUUUGCUCAAGUGGAUAUGAACAAUGAAGUUUGGUCAGCAGCAGCAAACAAUUCCAUGUAGAAAUUUAAGAAAACCUACUCAACUAAAUGUGCCAGCAUACCAUAGAUAAUAGAAGUUCCAUGAGUUAUUCUUUAAUGCAACUACUUGCAAAACAAGGCAUAUAUAUUAAAUAGCUCAUUGAUCAACUGUGCUUUUUUGGGGAGGUCUUGAUCAAACUGCAUAGUUUAUCGGCAUCAAUACAAUAGCAAAAUUAUAUG